rfam:Aspergillus carbonarius ITEM 5010 unplaced genomic scaffold ASPCAscaffold_11, whole genome shotgun sequence.
GUCUCCAUGGUGUAGUGGUUAUCACGUGGGUCUCAUACUAGAGCAGUAUGACUUGAAGGUUAACCUUCAGGAAAUCCCAAGGCCGGGAGUUCGAUCCUCCCUGGGGACA